ensembl:lncRNA
CUGCGACAUUUUCAAUCAAAUGACAUCUUAUGCCACUAGGACUGGGAUUUCCGUUUAUCCUUCAUUCAUUCGCAGUGGAUGCGGAGUCUAUCCCGGGAACGCUGGGCAUGAGGCGGGAAUACACCGUGGACGGGUUGCCAGUCCAUCACACACACACACACACACGCACACACUCAUUCACACUUAGGAGCGGUUUAGCGUCUUCUGUCGUUCUUCAGAAGUGGGAGGAAACCGGAGAACCCAGAGGGAACCCGUGUAAACACGGGGAGGAUGUACGAGCGCUGCGACUUCAGAACGUCCCACAUGACACCCCUGCAACGGAAGCCAUGUUUGUGAAGGCAACAUCUGCGUUCGCUCGCUGAUGAACAGACUAAAGGAUGGACGGAGAUUCUCUCUGAGUUUUACAACAGCAUCUUUUUUUCUGUGGAGAUGAAAGUGUGUAACAGAAAGCUUUGUCUGACAGGAAGAAAAGAAAAAAAAAACCCAAAACAAAACAAGACAAACACCUGAAAGCUGUUUCUUCGUUGGCUCUCGUCCAUACGACACUGCCAAGAAACACUCAAACACAGACCUUAAGAAAGAUGGAGGAUAAUAAACAGAUCCCCGGCAUGAUGGAACCCAGGUGGAGCUUUUUCCUCAGUCCUCAGCCCCGUCCCGGCUCCUGCUGAUGGUUAGCGCUGUCGGAUUCUGGAUUCUGAUUGGUCUGAAGUUACUAUAACAGCAGCACCGACAGUACUACAGCCGUUGUUCUUAUACCUUAUCGUUUCCAUAGCAACAGCUCAUCCUCAGGGACUAGUACAGCAGACGCCCCACGGGAUCGAACCCUGAUGAUAAAAAAUGGAUUUGAUCACGAUGUAUAUUUAGCAUUUUUGGAAGGAGUCUCCAGUGUCAGCGCUUUGUAAAGUUGAGGAGUGAAGCUGAUACUUUAGGUUUUCCGUCUUCAGGACGCUUUGCGGUUUCUAAGUAACCUGACAAGCUGUGUUUUUUUUUUGUUUGUUUUGUUUUUUUUUUGUGUGUGUGUUUUAAACUUCAAGAGAACAUAAAAUGUAACUACAAAUGGAUAAAAAAAAAACACGGCAUGGCAUUUAGUAAUAAAUUACAAGUUGUAAUUGUUGGUAAACUUCAGUGGUAUUAGAAGAAUAAAAUUUCAGGA